GGUCGAGGCUAUACCUGCCGCUGCCACCUGGGUCGCUCAGGGGCGAGAUGUGAGGAAGGUGUGACGGUAACCACCCCAUCCAUGUCUGGUGCUGGCUCCUACCUGGCACUACCAGCCCUCACCAACACACACCA